CAGAGUUGCAAAACUCCCCUAAACCAUUGUGAACCUACCACUAAACAGUUGCUUCGGCGGGUGGGCCUCCUCAGGAGGCCCCCUAGACAGCCCGCCGGAGGUACCCAAAAACUCUUGUUUAACUAAAAGGCCUCUCUGAGUACUGUACUUAAAUAAAAGUCA
rnacentral:misc_RNA from 1 species